rnacentral:rRNA from 1 species
GUGGGGAAUAUUGGACAAUGGGCGAAAGCCUGAUCCAGCCAUGCCGCGUGUGUGAAGAAGGUCUUCGGAUUGUAAAGCACUUUAAGUUGGGAGGAAGGGCAGUAAGUUAAUACCUUGCUGUUUUGACGUUACCGACAGAAUAAGCACCGGCUAACUUCGUGCCAGCAGCCGCGGUAAUACGAAGGGUGCAAGCGUUAAUCGGAAUUACUGGGCGUAAAGCGCGCGUAGGUGGUUUUGUAAGUUGGAGGUGAAAUCCCCGGGCUCAACCUGGGAACUGCCUCCAAAACUGCAUGACUAGAGUACGGUAGAGGGUAGUGGAAUUUCCUGUGUAGCGGUGAAAUGCGUAGAUAUAGGAAGGAACACCAGUGGCGAAGGCGACUACCUGGACUGAUACUGACACUGAGGUGCGAAAGCGUGGGGUGCAAACAGGAUUAGAAACCCUUGUAGUCC